rnacentral:rRNA from 1 species
AUACGUAGGGAGCGAGCGUUACCCGGAAUUACUGGGCGUAAAGAGCACGUAGGCGGUUGGAUAAGUCUUCUGUGAAAGCUCCCGGCUCAACUGGGAGCGGUUUAUGGAUACUGCCUUACUUGAGUGUGGGAGAGGUGACUGGAAUUCCCGGUGUAGUGGUGAAAUGCGUAGAUAUCAGGAGGAACACCUAUGGCGAAAGCAGGUCACUGGCCCAAAACUGACGCUCAGCUUCGAAAGCUAGGGGAGCAAACAGGAUUAGAAACCCCAGUAGUCC